GGGAGCGAGACCUCCGCCGGCCCCGCGGACUUGUCAAGUUGAAAACAGCAAGCUUUUGGGAUGAAAAAGCUUAGACCAUCAUGGCUACGAAAACUGUACUGCUACUCAGAAAAUAUGUAAUUCUGGAGCUCUUUAGUGAAAAAGUAGUACAAGGCAACAUCAGAGCAGUUGCCAAGUAAUCUUCUCCACAGCACCCAUGAACUUCAGCCUUGAACUGAAGAGGACUCAU